rnacentral:lncRNA from 1 species
GCAGAUGUGGCAGCCAUGUGUGAAAUGAAUCUUGAGAUAUAAUUCAAGCGGCCGAGAAAACCUCUGACUUGCUUUUCAGUUUUGGGCGCAGGCAUCUCUUGUAUUGCUCUCGCUGACAAUAAAGCCCAACAACUUACCAGUUUUUGGGCGCAUACAUCUCUUGUAUUGCAUCUCUUGUACUUCCUCAAACGCUGGAAUAACUUCAACAUAUGCUCAACA